GGGGUGAGUUGUGAUUGGCCUGCACGGGUCACGGCAAUCUCAUCUUCUGCCAACGGAAACUUGCAUUUGAAAACAGGCUGCUGGAGUUGUGUUGGCUGCCUUGUGACAAUGAGCUGUGACAUUGCUGGCACACGGCGAAUGAGGAGUAUCAGCCCUCUCUGAUUGGAAGAAAGAGGUGGACACCUGAUCCCUGAACCAGCGACACAAAGAAGGUCGGGCACAUGCCAAGGCUAUAUUUUCCUUCCUCCCCUGCAACUGGGUGUGACCAUCUGAUUUAUUUCCUCCCAGUGAAAGCAAACAUGCAGUGAGAAAAAGAGGCAGGAGGACAGAAGAAAGAGUUUACUUUGUACUCUGCUUGGAGGGAUGAUACGACCAGACUGUGGUUUUACAAGCUAGAACCGUAGCUGCUGUGUGUGGGCUGGAAUGCCGGUGUAGCUCAUGCUGGUUCACAAAAUCAUUACCCACAAUAACUUGGAAGGCACAAACAUAUAUCCAGAUUAAGGGGAUACAGCUGUAAAAAUGAAGGAGGUCAGUGUAGUUCACUGCUCCUUGCUGCAUCUUUCAAGAAGGAAUCACAAAGAGAUGAGCUCAGGUAAGAACUGGCCGCUCUGUAGGCAGAAAUGGAAGGAAAAACGGCCAGGCGCAGUGGCUCACUGCGCAAAUUUGCAGAUUUGCAAAUCCAGUCCAGGAACCAAAGAACAAGCCACCAAAAAACAGCUAAAGGAGUAGCCACUGGAGCCUGGAACCAAGCCUACAUGACACUUACAAAAAUUUGAUUUUCCGCAGGAAAAAAAAAAAAUAUUUUGACUCCUACAUUUUUUGGGACUUCAUUAGCAAGAUGUGAAAUGGACGACACCAAGCUGUUUGCCUAAAAUAAUGUCCCGAGCCUGAACUGGCCUGGAUGUUCCUCGAGAUUAAAAUAGAAACUUGUUCUUGCUAACAGAAAACAGUUUAGAAAUCAGAAGAGAUAGUGAGGUCGCCCUGCCACAGAACUUCCCAUUAAAACUUUGAAGUUGUGGAAAC